rnacentral:lncRNA from 10 species
GUGACGUGCGUGGCGACGUGUCGGCCAUCUUGUGUUGUUGAGGCUGAGGACUGACUGGGGUUCUGAGACUCCCUGUCCCGGACCGCAGCGUUAAAAGGAUCUGAACAAAGUCUGCUCAAAUCUCCUGCUGUGAACCAGCAGAAUUUUUGAACAGAGACUGUCUCGCUCUGUCACCCAGGCUAGAGUGCAGUGGUGCUAUCGUAACUCACUGGAGCCCUGAUCUAGGCUCAAACCAUCCUCCCACCUCAGCCUCCCAAGUAGCUGGGACUAAGAUGUGUUUGGACCCCGAAUAUGGAAUUCUCAUGGAAUUUUGAGAUCCAUCACAUUGUAGUGUGGCUUCCCCCCCUCCCCUCCUUCCUUUUUCCCCAAAGUUGGUGAUUGAAGAUCCUCUCUUCAGUGGCAUCAAUAAUAAUAAUUACUUUUUCUAUUCAAACCUCGGGCAACCCCUUUGGUAAUAUCAGAAGUAGUAUCUAAAAUAGAUAAAUUGGAUUUGUGUCUUAAACUCUUGGUUGUUCAGGUGGGAGUGGUUCAAUAAAUGAUGCAGACUUCCUGUAGUAACUCUAUUUGAGGAGUCUUAUUAACUUAUCCUAUUAGAAAUAUUUCUUUUUAUUAAUAUAUGUAAUCUCGAAGUUUUCUUAACCUUUAUAGCCAGCAUUUGGAGACUGAGGAGAAAUCACUAUUUGAAGUUCUAAGAACCGAUGGAACUCCUGUAUUUUGAGAGUUUAUUUAGAACAUGUUAACCUAAGUAAUGCUGUACUUGUUUUAGUUAUUCCUUUAUAUUUUUAAAAUGAUUUUCUUAGUAUCAAAUUAAUAUGUUUCUAAAAAAAUUAGAAAUAACUAGUAAGCCAGAAAUAAUUUCAACAUCCAUGGUACACACUGUAAAUACCUUGGUGUAUCUUUCCAGGUGGUUUUAUGUAUGCUUAUUUGUGUAUAUAUACACUUAUUUUUUACAAAAAUGGGAUCAUACUGUACCUUCAGUUUUGUAGCCUGCUUAAAGAAAUAACCAAAUCAGAAACAUCUUUUUUUAAUCAAUAAAUAUUUUCUGUUGUAUUAAAUGGUUGCAUUGUAUGGAUGUACCAUCAUUUAUUCAACUAGUCUUCUAGAUGUGACAUAUAGAAGCUGUUCUUGAUUUUUCAUUAUAAAAAUAUUUUUAAUG